rnacentral:rRNA from 1 species
GGCGCAGCCUGAUGCAGCCAUGCCGCGUGUAUGAAGAAGGCCUUCGGGUUGUAAAGUACUUUCAGCGGGGAGGAAGGCGAUAAGGUUAAUAACCUUGUCGAUUGACGUUACCCGCAGAAGAAGCACCGGCUAACUCCGUGCCAGCCGCG